rnacentral:rRNA from 1 species
UACGUAGGGGGCUAGCGUUGUCCGGAAUCAUUGGGCGUAAAGAGCGUGUAGGCGGUCCGGUAAGUCCGCUGUGAAAGUCGGGGGCUCAACCCUCGAAUGCCGGUGGAUACUGUCGGGCUAGAGUGCGGAAGAGGCGAGUGGAAUUCCUGGUGUAGCGGUGAAAUGCGCAGAUAUCAGGAGGAACACCAAUAGCGAAGGCAGCUCGCUGGGACGGUACUGACGCUAAGGCGCGAAAGCGUGGGGAGCGAACAGG